rnacentral:misc_RNA from 1 species
AAAACUUAGAAUUUAUUUCUUGUGGUUUAAUAAAACUUUAUAAAUGGUUCCUAUGGUUUGAUAAAAUCCUCGUAAACAGUCCCUACGGUAGGGAUUAUUUAUGAUGAUUUUAUCAAACCACAUAAACUAAAUUAUAACUUUCUCCAAACAGUAGGGACCAAAUUUGCAAUUUAAUAUUUACUAAAUAAUAUAAUUAUCUUUUGAACUUAGACUAAUUGUUU